AGAAGCCCGAGAUUGCAAAGAGGGAGGGAAAACAGGCAGACCUCCCCGACCCGGGAGCUGAAGAACUGCCCCCAGCAAAGUCUGACGUCGGACGCCCUGAUCUCAGCCGUCUUUGCGAUCUGCUGAGCGCCAGGGAGAGACAUGUUUUAAAAACAGCACAGCCAGCAAGCGCCGGAGCUAGGAAUGAAAGCUAAGACUUGGGAUUAAGUCCAGUCCUUCCACGGAGCGGAAACCAGGUCUGAGCUCCUGCCUUUUUACAGCAAAAGCAGCAACCCCUUCGGGUCCUCACUGCUGUCUCCAGACCCAGACCCUCAUUUGGUCUUCAUGGCAGAGAAUGCUUCUGGCCCCGUGGGACAGACUUAGGAGGUUUGGAAACCUAGGAACUGCAGAGCUGACAAUUUAAGAGACAAAAGGCAAGAAGGAAAAUGACAGAAUUGCUGCGGACGUCAGUAAGACAACCCUAGAAUUCUGGUCCAGAAACAAAGGGAAGCACUUCAGUGGAAGGACCCUGAUGGGAGCUGCUUUUUGGGUAGAUCAUUCUGGUUGCUGGAGAGUGGAAUCAGCAUGGUGAGAUCUAAAGCAAGAUGAAUUAGGAGACUAUAUCAGAGCAACACUGAGGGCCUUACAAGGCAGUGGCAGGUGGCGAUUGGGAUUUAGGGAUUCCUCUGGGAGGACCCACCUGGGAUGACGAGGUACACUCUCAGGGAUGUGGGAACGGCAGGGGUUGGACUCCCGGCACCCUGGGAGUCCCUUUCUCCUUGCCAAAUGAUCUUCCUCAGAGAUAUUUUUCCAUCUCCUGCAGAAAGGAAGAAAAUGUUCAUCUCAAGUGCUACCAGUGUGAAGACACAUGCAAAAAAAGAGGAGAGAACAUAAGAAAUAGACAUGACAGAGGUGUCAGCGAGUGCUAAGGUGGUAAUCACAUUGCAAUAUA